rnacentral:rRNA from 1 species
GACGAACGCUGGCGGCGUGCUUAACACAUGCAAGUCGAACGGGAAGACAUGAAGAGCUUGCUCUUUAUGAAAUCCAGUGGCAAACGGGUGAGUAACACGUAAACAACCUGCCUUCAGGAUGGGGACAACAGACGGAAACGACUGCUAAUACCGAAUACGAUUCUUGAGUCGCAUGACACAAGAAAGAAAGGGUGGCCUCUACAAGUAAGCUAUCGCCUGAAGAGGGGUUUGCGUCCGAUUAGGUAGUUGGUGAGGUAACGGCCCACCAAGCCGACGAUCGGUAGCCGGUCUGAGAGGAUGAACGGCCACAUUGGAACUGAGACACGGUCCAGACUCCUACGGGAGGCAGCAGUGGGGAAUCUUCCGCAAUGGGCGAAAGCCUGACGGAGCAACGCCGCGUGAGUGAAGACGGCCUUCGGGUUGUAAAACUCUGUGAUUCGGGACGAAAGAUAAGUAGACGAAUAAUCUGCAUAAGUGACGGUACCGAAAAAGCAAGCCACGGCUAACUACGUGCCAGCCGCCGCGGUAA